CAAGACCUUGCGCUAAAGGAGCGGCUGAUGUCUGAUUAGCUAGUUGGUGAGGUAAAGGCUCACCAAGGCAACGAUCAGUAGUUGGUCUGAGAGGACGGCCAACCACACUGGGACUGAGACACGGCCCAGACUCCUACGGGAGGCAGCAGUGGGGAAUUUUGGACAAUGGGCGAAAGCCUGAUCCAGCCAUGCCGCGUGAGUGAAGAAGGCCUUCGGGUUGUAAAGCUCUUCUAGUCGGAAAGAAAAGAUCUUAAUGAACAAUUAUGAUUCAUGGCGGUACCGACAGAAAAAGCACCGGCUAACUACGUGCCAGCAGCCGCGGUAAUACGUAGGGUGCGAGCGUUAAUCGGAAUUACUGGGCGUAAAGGGUGCGCAGGCGGUUUUGUAAGUCAGAUGUGAAAUCCCCGGGCUUAACCUGGGAAUU
rnacentral:rRNA from 1 species